rnacentral:rRNA from 1 species
GAAUGCUGACAUAAGUAACGAUAAAGCGGGUGAAAAGCCCGCUCGCCGGAAGACCAAGGGUUCCUGUCCAACGUUAAUCGGGGCAGGGUGAGUCGACCCCUAAGGCGAGGCCGAAAGGCGUAGUCGAUGGGAAACGGGUUAAUAUUCCCGUACUUGGUGUUACUGCGAAGGGGGGACGGAGAAGGCUAUGUUGGCCGGGCGACGGUUGUCCCGGUUUAAGCGUGUAGGUGUGUGUUCCAGGUAAAUCCGGUUCACUUUAACACUGAGGCGUGACGACGAGGCACUACGGUGCUGAAGCAACAAAUGCCCUGCUUCCAGGAAAAGCCUCUAAGCAUCAGGUAACAUCAAAUCGUACCCCAAACCGACACAGGUGGUCAGGUAGAGAAUACCAAGGCGCUUGAGAGAACUCGGGUGAAGGAACUAGGCAAAAUGGUGCCGUAACUUCGGGAGAAGGCACGCUGACACGUAGGUGAAGUGAUUUACUCAUGGAGCUGAAGUCAGUCGAAGAUACCAGCUGGCUGCAACUGUUUAUUAAAAACACAGCACUGUGCAAACACGAAAGUGGACGUAUACGGUGUGACGCCUGCCCGGUGCCGGAAGGUUAAUUGAUGGGGUCAGCGCAAGCGAAGCUCCUGAUCGAAGCCCCGGUAAACGGCGGCCGUAACUAUAACGGUCCUAAGGUAGCGAAAUUCCUUGUCGGGUAAGUUCCGACCUGCACGAAUGGCGUAAUGAUGGCCAGGCUGUCUCCACCCGAGACUCAGUGAAAUUGAACUCGCUGUGAAGAUGCAGUGUACCCGCGGCAAGACGGAAAGACCCCGUGAACCUUUACUAUAGCUUGACACUGAACAUUGAGCCUUGAUGUGUAGGAUAGGUGGGAGGCUUUGAAGUGUGGACGCCAGUCUGCAUGGAGCCGACCUUGAAAUACCACCCUUUAAUGUUUGAUGUUCUAACGUGGACCCGUGAUCCGGGUUGCGGACAGUGUCUGGUGGGUAGUUUGACUGGGGCGGUCUCCUCCUAAAGAGUAACGGAGGAGCACGAAGGUUGGCUAAUCCUG